GACGAACGCUGGCGGCGUGCUUAACACAUGCAAGUCGAACGAAGAGCGAUGGAAGCUUGCUUCUAUCAAUCUUAGUGGCGCACGGGUGAGUAACGCGUAAUCAACCUGCCCUUCAGAGGGGGACAACAGUUGGAAACGACUGCUAAUACCGCAUACGAUCUAAUCUCGGCAUCGAGGAUAGAUGAAAGGUGGCCUCUACAUGUAAGCUAUCACUGAAGGAGGGGAUUGCGUCUGAUUAGCUAGUUGGAGGGGUAACGGCCCACCAAGGCGAUGAUCAGUAGCCGGUCGGGAAGGAGGAACGGCCACAUUGGGACUGAGACACGGCCCAGACUCCUACGGGAGGCAGCAGUGGGGAAUCUUCCGCAAUGGACGAAAGUCUGACGGAGCAACGCCGCGUGAGUGAUGACGGCCGUCGGGUUGUAAAGCUCUGUUAAUCGGGACGAAAGGCCUUCUUGCGAAUAGUGAGAAGGAUUGACGGUACCGGAAGAGAAAGCCACGGCUAACUACGUG
rnacentral:rRNA from 1 species